rnacentral:lncRNA from 1 species
ACAGGGUAGUGGCCAUAGCUGCAUAAAGGAAAAUCAGACCUCUAUUAGUACAUAAAUUAUAAAUACUAAAGACUUGGACUUUAGUCUAAAGUUUCUCCCAGUAAUUUUACAAACUGAUAGACUCAACCUCCAAUUCGAGGAAUUACUUUAAUUUCUUAAUGGGUACUAGAAUCCACACAGACUACACACGAGCCCAACUUUGGUUGGUCAAUCCAUGUGCAUCUAUGGGUAGGUUCAUAACCAGUUGUUUCUCUAAACAACUUCUAGUAAUUGAUUUU